CCUGCCCUCAGCUUUGGGAUAACACAAAGAAAUUUGUGCUAAUACCGGAUAUUGACAUGUUGCCGCAUGGUGGUGUGUUGAAAGUUUUUCGGCUGGGGAUGGGCCCGCGGCCUAUCAGCUUGUUGGUGGGGUAAUGGCCUACCAAGGCGACGACGGGUAGCCGGCCUGAGAGGGCGACCGGCCACACUGGAACUGAGACACGGUCCAGACUCCUACGGGAGGCAGCAGUGGGGAAUAUUGCGCAAUGGGCGGAAGCCUGACGCAGCGACGCCGCGUGAGGGAUGACGGUCUUCGGAUUGUAAACCUCUUUCAGCAGGGACGAAGCGUGAGUGACGGUACCUGCAGAAGAAGCACCGGCCAACUACGUGCCAGCAGCCGCGGUAAUACGUAGGGUGCAAGCGUUGUCCGGAAUUAUUGGGCGUAAAGAGCUCGUAGGCGGUUUGUCGCGUCGAAUGUGAAAACCCGGGGCUCAGCUCCGGGCCUGCAUUCGAUACGGGCAGACUAGAGUUCGGUAGGGGAGACUGGAAUUCCUGGUGUAGCGGUGAAAUGCGCAGAUAUCAGGAGGAACACCGGUGGCGAAGGCGGGUCUCUGGGCCGAUACUGACGCUGAGGAGCGAAAGCGUGGGGAGCAAACAGGAUUAGAUACCCUGGUAGUCCACGCCGUAAACGGUGGGCGCUAGGUGUGGGGGACUUCCACGUUCUCUGUGCCGCAGCUAACGCAUUAAGCGCCCCGCCUGGGGAGUACGGCCGCAAGGCUAAAACUCAAAGGAAUUGACGGAAUCGA
rnacentral:rRNA from 1 species